rnacentral:antisense_RNA from 1 species
AAUAACCAAAAAUAACACUUGGCUAAGGGACAAGUUGGUAAUUUUCUUACAUCUCCUCCUCUCUCCUGGAGCCCAAGUAUCAUAUAUGCCCCCAAAAUAAAGAGCCUUGAAUACUAGAAGAAAAGCACCUAUGCCUAGCAAGAUUAAGUGAAUACCUAAAAUUGUUGUCAUUUUAUUUCUAUCUUUCCA